UACAGAGGAGCCAAGCGUUGUCCGGAUUGACUGGGCGUAAAGCGCACGUAGGCGGCUUUGUAAGUUAGAGGUGAAAGCCCGGGGCUCAACCCCGGAAUUGCCUUUAAGACUGCAUCGCUUGAACGUCGGAGAGGUGAGUGGAAUUCCGAGUGUAGAGGUGAAAUUCGUAGAUAUUCGGAAGAACACCAGUGGCGAAGGCGGCUCACUGGACGACUGUUGACGCUGAGGUGCGAAAGCGUGGGGAGCAAACAGG
rnacentral:rRNA from 1 species